rnacentral:snRNA from 1 species
GGAUGUGAGGGCAAUCUGGCUGUGACAUCUGUCACCCCAUUGAUCGCCAGAGUUGAUUCGGCUGAUCUGUCUAGCUAGGCAGGUGUCUCCUUCCUCCCUCACCGCUCAAUGUGCGUCCUCCCGAAGCUGCGCGCUCUGUCGAAGAGGACGACCAUCCCCGAUAGAGGAGGACCGUUCCCCGUCAAGGGUAUACGAGUAGCUGCGCUCCCCUGCUAGAACCUCCAAACAAGCUCUUAAAACUGAAACUAACAGCAUCAAAUUAUUUUCUCAUUAAUUUUAGGCAUCCUUACUUACGGCAGGGCCACUGCUACUUUGACCUAUAAUU